rnacentral:lncRNA from 1 species
AAGAUGAACUGGCAGCUGAGACUUGGCGGUCACUUACUGGCUUCGACACUAUGCAUGUUACUGGGCUAAACUGCUACAAUUGCACGAUGAUCCCAUUUGGUAAUACCUGCUCAUCAACUGCUACCUGCUCCUACCCUGAUGGAGUCUGUGCUAUUCAGGUGGCAGAAGUUGUCAUGGGCUCUGUAAGACUGAAAGUAAAGGACCAUAUUUGCCUUCCCGUCUGCCCAACGAGUUCUCAAACUGCUGAGAUCCUGGGUACUGUUGUCGACAUGAAGAUUUCCUGUUGCAAUACAGAUCUUUGCAACGCAGCAGGGCCCACUGGAGGCAGCACCUGGACCAUGGCAAGGGUGCUUCUGUUCAGCCUGGGCUCCGUCCUCCU